rnacentral:rRNA from 1 species
UACAGAGGGUGCGAGCGUUAAUCGGAGUUACUGGGCGUAAAGGGCGCGUAGGCGGUUGGUAAAGAUUGGUGUGAAAUCCCUGGGCUCAACCUAGGAAGUGCACCGAUGACUGGCUGGCUAGAGCACUGUAGAGGGUGGCGGAAUUUCCGGUGUAGCGGUGAAAUGCGUAGAGAUCGGAAAGAACACCGGUGGCGAAGGCGGCCACCUGGACAGAUGCUGACGCUGGGGCGCGAGAGCGUGGGGAGCAAACAGG